AGACCCGAAACCCGGUGAUCUAGCCAUGGGCAGGUUGAAGGUUGGGUAACACUAACUGGAGGACCGAACCGACUAAUGUUGAAAAAUUAGCGGAUGACCUGUGGCUGGGGGUGAAAGGCCAAUCAAACCGGGAGAUAGCUGGUUCUCCCCGAAAGCUAUUUAGGUAGCGCCUCGUGAAUUCAUCUCCGGGGGUAGAGCACUGUUUCGGCUAGGGGGCCAUCCCGGCUUACCAACCCGAUGCAAACUGCGAAUACCGGAGAAUGUUAUCACGGGAGACACACGGCGGGUGCUAACGUCCGUCGUGAAGAGGGAAACAACCCAGACCGCCAGCUAAGGUCCCAAAGUCAUGGUUAAGUGGGAAACGAUGUGGGAAGGCCCAGACAGCCAGGAUGUUGGCUUAGAAGCAGCCAUCAUUUAAAGAAAGCGUAAUAGCUCACUGGUCGAGUCGGCCUGCGCGGAAGAUGUAACGGGGCUAAACCAUGCACCGAAGCUGCGGCAGCGACACUCAGGUGUUGUUGGGUAGGGGAGCGUUCUGUAAGCCUGUGAAGGUGGCC
rnacentral:rRNA from 2 species